rnacentral:lncRNA from 1 species
ACAAAAAUAAGUAAGUUAAUAGUUCAAUAAAUAAAAAUCGGUAAAUAGUUUGUUACAUUGUCAAGGUUUGUAAUAUCCAUCAGAGGUAGUAUGACAAUAUUUUUCAUAAAUUUAUCAUAAACACUAAUUUGGAACCUCCCGAGUUUUGGGACCAUAUUUGUGACUAUGAACUCAAAAGUUGACUUGAGCUAUAUACAACUAAUCUUUAGGUAUCCUAUAUUAAGAAAAAA